UUAUACGAGUUUAAUAUUGUAUUUUAUUAAAUAAAAAUAAUAUAAUACCACCCCUCCCCCUCCGUAGACCAGUUGAUUAAUCCGUUAUUCUGUUACAGUCACUUGUUUAAAAUGGAGAGAAGAACGAAGAGGAGUGGUGCCCAAAAUAGAAAACGAAAAAAAGAACAUGUAAAACAAUGCCUUAAAAUGAAAUCUGCUAUGCCAAAUUGGAUAAUCAGAGAUUGCCAUGAAGAUGGGGAGGGCAAUGACAAAAUAGCAGUAAAUGAGUUCAGAGCAGGUGAAGAGAACAGUCAUGAAGAUGGUGAGGACAGAGAGCAAGAAAAUGUAAAUAGAGCCAGAGAAAAGAACAGGUAGGAAUGGCCCCACAAAAAAUAAAUGAAUAAAUGGCAGGUCAGGGUUUUGCAAAUUUAGGUAUUGUUUGUCUUGCAAUUUUAUUCAGCAGGAAAAUCUUGACAAGGUCUUCCCAAAUUUAACAGUGGCAUUAAGAGUUUUCCUAACAAUGCAACUAACUGUUGCCUCUGCAGAAAGAUCUUUCAGCAAACUGAAACUUAUAAAAACAUACCUUCGUUCAACUAUGCACAAUGACCGCUUGUCACAGCUUGCAAUCAUCUCCAUUGAAAACAAUCUAGCAAGGUCAACCUCAUUUGAUGAAAUACUUGACAAAUGGGCAAGUACAAAAGCAAGGCAUGUUA